ensembl:lncRNA
GUGACGUUCUCCAGCGCUCAUCUGCAGGAGUGUUUGAAUGAACUGACUUGUGCUGUAAUAAAUCACAAGUUUUCCAGCGAUAUUCCCAGUUUUAUGAGCAAAUCCUUCAACAGCAGGAACAACUUCUUUACCAGAGAGAGCAGGAUGUUAAAGAGCUGGAAGCCAAAGAAAUGCAGGUGGCUGAUGUGUGUAGUGGGAUGAUGGCUGACAUCACAGCUCUGCGUGCCAGAGUUUGUCAACUGGAGGAGGAGAAGAGAAGCUUAGAGCAACAUCUCAACCUCAGAAACAGAGCGGGUUCACCAGCUCUUCUCCACAUGCAUUCUUAGGAAGUCACGUCUGGACAAAUACCAUAUGAAUAUGGAUCAUGAUGUGUGACAGCUGGUGAGCAGCGUGAGGAAGGAAGGCGUGGACAGAAUCAUCAAACCGAAAAAUAAAUUAUCCUCCACUAAUGAUAACGAGACCCUCAUUCACACACUUCAUGAGGUGAACCCCUAGAAUGAGCUUUGUUAUAAAGUUAUAUAAAUUUUUUUUAAUUAAAGUUAUAUUGAAAUAUCUCACAAAAAAAU